AAGAGACAGCAGUAGCCACGGGAAUACAGAGGGUGCGAGCGUUAAUCGGAUUUACUGGGCGUAAAGCGUGCGUAGGCGGCUUCUUAAGUCGGAUGUGAAAUCCCUGAGCUUAACUUAGGAAUUGCAUUCGAUACUGGGAAGCUAGAGUAUGGGAGAGGAUGGUAGAAUUCCAGGUGUAGCGGUGAAAUGCGUAGAGAUCUGGAGGAAUACCGAUGGCGAAGGCAGCCAUCUGGCCUAAUACUGACGCUGAGGUACGAAAGCAUGGGGAGCAAACAGGAUUAGAUACCCGAGUAGUCCCUGUCUCUUAUAC
rnacentral:rRNA from 1 species